rnacentral:rRNA from 1 species
AUGACUAGAGAUAAUCUUAGGAAGAGACACAUUGUCGAACCUAUAGACUGUGUGUUCUGUGCUAAUGAUGAAUCUAUAACAAAUCUGUUUUUUGAUUGCAUUGUAGCUAAAAACUUAUGGCCCCUUGUUAGAGAUUAUUUUAAUCUUCCAGUCGGGGGCAAUUUUGAAUCCAUAGCUAGAUAUUGGAUUUCAAAUAAAAAGAACUCAACUUUGAAUAUUGUUAGCUGUGUGAUUCUUUGUUCCUUGUGGAAAUAUAGGAACUCUAUGAUUUUUAACAACACCAAUUGGAUCUCUAUUACACAGGGGUAGAGGGUAGUUCUAAGAACUAUCAGAUACUGGGUUGUUCUGUCUCCAGAGCAGAGCAAGGAGAGGUUGAUGGACUUCUCAACAUUCCUGGCAAGAUUCAUUCAGUAG